rnacentral:rRNA from 1 species
UACAGAGGGUGCAAGCGUUGUUCGGAAUUAUUGGGCGUAAAGCGCGUGUAGGCGGCUUUGCAAGUCGGAUGUGAAAGCCCUCGGCUUAACCGAGGAACUGCCCUCCAAACUGUCUGGCUUGAGACCGGGAGAGGUGAGUGGAAUUCCCAGUUUAGCGGUGAAAUGCGUAGAUAUUGGGAGGAACACCAGUGGCGAAGGCGGCUCACUGGACCGGUACUGACGCUGAUGCGCGAAAGCGUGGGGAGCAAACGGG